rnacentral:rRNA from 1 species
CCCUUAGACGUUCUGGGCCGCACGCGCGCUACACUGACGAAGGCAACGAGCUACUCUUCACCGAAAGGUGUGGGCAAUCUUUUGAAACUUCGUCGUGCUGGGGAUAGAUCCUUGCAAUUUUUGAUCUUAAACGAGGAAUUCCUAGUAAGCGCAAGUCAUCAACUUGCGUUGAUUACGUCCCUGCCCUUUGUACACACCGCCCGUCGCUACUACCGAUUGAAUGGUUUAGUGAGGCCUUCGGAUCCGCGAUUUUAUUGUGGAGAAGUUGGACAAACUCAGUCAUUUAGAGGAAGUAAAAGUCGUAACA